rnacentral:rRNA from 1 species
AGCAUGUGGUUUAAUUCGAAGCAACGCGAAGAACCUUACCAGGUCUUGACAUCCCCUGACAACCCGAGAGAUCGGGCGUUCCCCUUCGGGGGGACAGGGUGACAGGUGGUGCAUGGUUGUCGUCAGCUCGUGUCGUGAGAUGUUGGGUUAAGUCCCGCAACGAGCGCAACCCUCGACCUUAGUUGCCAGCAUUCAGUUGGGCACUCUAAGGUGACUGCCGGCUAAAGUCGGAGGAAGGUGGGGAUGACGUCAAAUCAUCAUGCCCCUUAUGACCUGGGCUACACACGUGCUACAAUGGGCGGUACAAAGGGUCGCGAACCCGCGAGGGGGAGCCAAUCCCAAAAAGCCGCUCUCAGUUCGGAUUGCAGGCUGCAACUCGACUGCAUGAAGUUGGAAUCGCUAGUAAUCGUGGAUCAGCCAAGCCGCGGUGAAUACGUUCCCGGGCCUU